AACAUAACCUAACAGUCGAUAUGACAACAACAAAUAGCCGAAAAGUGUUCAAUGUUUUUUAGUGGUCAUUAAAAUUAAAUGGACAUUAGAUAGUGAUAAUGAAAUCUCCCCAACAUUUACACCACAAAAAACCGAAGAACACGUUGGAAAAAACGUAUGAAGAAUUCAUGUUGUAGUGCAGAGGAGAAAGUUGAACAUUAUUCAGAAAACGUCGUAUUGACAAUAUUUUUCAGAUAUCUCAAACAUAGAAAAAUUUAUAUUGGAAGCCCCAGAUGCAGAUUGUUUGUUGAUUAAGGUGGCGUUAAUUGUUGUCACAAGGAUUAAUGAUUACAUUUGCCAGUAGAAGACAUUCAAGACUUCAACAUCAAAUUACUCAUCACAAUAAAUAAUACAAAAACUAACAAUCUGUUCACUGUUGUAGGUAAUGAGGGUAUUCCAAAUUACCUACAGUUAUAGAGGAAGUAUUUUGGGCUUGGUCCUAGACACAUCUCACAUAAUAAGUUUUUCAUUUAUUAUUGUAAAAAUAAAUUUUCAACUCGGCCAUAUUAUCGUAAAUAUUGUUAAAUCUAAUAAUGACAAAUAACAAUUUGAAAAAUUA